CCUCUGUAGUAACAUUUAAUGCCAGUUCCUGAUAAUCGUUUGAGUUAGGGUCUGAAUACGCUUCUAGGAAUGUACGGUUCAUUUUGAAUCCUAAUCCAAGUGAACCUUCAUUUCCAAUUGGUGAUGCAGCUGAGUAUAUAGUUGCUAAUGAUGCUGUUGUUGUUUUUAUAGUGGUUGUUGUGGCUGCGGCCGUGGUUGUUGUUUGAGUACUAGUGCUUGUUGUAGCAGCUUCAGUAGUUGUUGUGGGUGCAGCUGUGGAUGUUGUAUGAGCAGCUGUGGUAGUUGUGGUUUCUGCCGUGGUUGUUGUGGCUGCUGUCGUGGUUGUUGUGCUUGCUGUCGUGGUUGUUGUGGGGAUUGGUGUUGUCGUGGGAGCAGGUGUUGUAGUUGUGGUUUCUGCCGUGGUUGUUGUGGCUGCUGCCGUGGUUGUUGUGCUUGCUGUCGUGGUUGUCGUGGGAGCUGCAACUGUUGUCGUGGGAGCAGCCAUUGUAGUUGUUGUGUCUGCCGUGGUUGUUGUGGCUGCUCCGGUGGUUGUUGUGCUUGCUGUCGUGGUUGUUGUGGGGAUUGGUGUUGUCGUGGGAGCAGGUGUUGUAGUUAUGGUUUCUGCUGUGGUUGUUGUGGCUGCUCUGGUGGUUGUUUUUGCUGCUGCCGUAGUGGUAGUUGGAGAACCUGUUGUUGUGGGUAAAGCCGUGGUUGUUGUGGGUGCAGCCGUGGUUGUUGUUUGAAUAGUAGUGCUUGUGGUAGCAGCUUCAGGAGUUGUCGUGGGUGCCACUGUGGAUGAUGUUGGAGCAGCUGUGUCAGUUGUGGUUUCUGCCGUAGUUGUUGUGGCUGCUGCCGUGAUUGUUGUGGGAGCAGCUGUUGUAGUUGUGGGUACUGCCGUGGUUGUUGUGGAUAUGUCCAUUGUAGUUUCUGCCGUGGGUGUUGUGGCUGCUGCUGUGGUUGUUGUGGGUACUGCCGUGGUUGUUGUGGGUGCGGCCGUGGUAGUUGUGGCUGCUCCGGUGGUUGUUGUUGCUGCUGCCGUAGAUGUAGUGGGAGCACCUGUUGUUGUAGUGGGAGCACCUGUUGUUGUUGUGGGUAAUGCUGUGAUUGUUGUGGGUGCGGCCGUGGUUGUUGUUUGAGUAGUAGUGCUUGCUGUAGCAGCUUCAGUAGUGGUUGUGGGUGCACCUGUGGAUGUUGUGCUUGUUGUCGUGGUUGUGGAUGGAGCUGCAACUGUUGUCGUGAGAGCAGCCGUUGUAGUUAUGGAUUCUGCUGUGGUUGUUGUGGCUGCUCCGGUGGUUGUUUUUGCUGCUGCCGUAGUGGUAGUGGGAGCACCUGUUGUUGAUGUGGGUAAAGCCGUGGUUGUUGUGGGUGCAGCUGUGGUUGUUGUUUGAAUAGUAGUGCUUGUGGUAGCAGCUUCAGUAGUUGUCGUGGGUGCACCUGUGGAUGAUGUUGGAGCAGCUGUGUCAGUUGUGGUUUCUGCCGUGGUUGUUGUGGCUGCUGCCGUGGUCGUUGUGGGAGCAGCCGUUGUAGUUGUGGGUACUGCCGUGGUUGUUGUGGGAGCGGCCGUUGUAGUUUCUGCCGUGGAUGUUGUGGCUGCUGCCGUGGUUGUUGUGGGUACUGCCGUGGUUGUUGUGGGUGCGGCCGUGGUAGUUGUGGAUUCUGAAGUGGUUGUUGUGGCUGCUCCGGUGGUUGUUGUUGCUGCUGCCGUAGAUGUAGUGGGAGCACCUGUUGUUGUAGUGGGAGCACCUGUUGUUGUUGUGGGUAAUGCUGUGGUUAUUGUGGGUGCGGCCGUGCUUGUUGUUUGCGUAGUAUUGCUUGUUGUAGCAGCUUCAGGAGUUGUCGUGGGUGCACCUGUGGAUGUUGUUAGAGCAGCUGUGUUAGUUGUGGUUUCUGCCGUGGAUGCUGCCGUGGUUGUUGUGCUUGCUGACGUGGUUGUAGUCAGAGCUGGUGUUGUCGUGGUAGCAGCCGUUGAAGUUGUGGGUACUGCCGUGGUUGUUGUGGGUGAGGCCGUGGUAGUUGUGGUUUCUGCCGUGGUUGUUGUGGCUGCUGCCGUGGUUGUUGUGGCUGCUCCGGUGGUUGUUGUUGCUGCUGCCGUAGUAGAAGUGGCAGCACCAGUUGUUGCAGUGGGGAAAGCCAUGGUUGUGGUGGGUGCGUCCGUGGUUGUUGUUUGACUAGUAGUGCUUGUUGUAGCAGCUUCAGGAGAUGUCGUGGGUGCACCUGUGGAUGUUGUUGGAGCAGCUGUGUUAGUUGUGGUUUCUGCCGUGGUUGUUGUGGCUGCUGCCAUGGUUGUUGUGCUUGCUGUCGUGGUUGUUGAGGGGGUUGGUGUUGUCGUGGGAGCAGGUGUUGUAGAUGUGGUUUCUGCCGUGGUUGUUGUGGCUGCUCCUGUGGUUGUUGUUGCUUCUGCCGUAGUUGUAGUGGGAGCACCUGUUGAUGUUGUGGGUAAUGCUGUGGUUGUUGAGGAUUCUGCCGUGGUUCUUGUUUGCAUAGUAGUGCUUGUUGUAGCAGCUUCAAGAGUUAUCGUGGGUGCACCUGUGGAUGUUGUUGGAGCAGCUGUGUUAGUUGUGGUUUCUGCCGUGGAUGUUGUGGCUGCUCCUGUGGUUGUUGUAGCUUCUGCCGUAGUUGUAGUGGGAGCACCUGUUGUUGUUGUGGGUAAAGCCGUGGUUGUUGUGGAAGCGGUAGUGGUAGUUGUUUGAGUAGUAGUGCUUGUUGUAGCAGCUUCAGUAGUUGUUGUGGGUGCACCUGUGGAUGUUGUUGGAACAGCUGUGUUAGUUGUGGUUUCUGCCGUGGAUGUUGUGGCUGCUGCCGUGGUUGUUGUGGGUGCGGCCGUGGUAGUUGUGGAUUCUGACGUGGUUGUUGUGGCUGCUCCGGUGGAUAUUGUUGCUGCUGCCGUAGUUGUAGUCGGAGAACCUGUUGUUGUUGUGGGUAAAGCCGUGGUUGUUGUGGGUGUGGUAGUGGUUGAGGUUUGAGUAGUAGUGCUUGCUGUAGCAGCUUCAGUAUUUGUUGUGGGUGGAACUGGGGAUGUUGUUGGAGCAGCUGUGGUGGUUGUGGUUUCUGCCUUGGUUGUUGUGGCUGCUCCAGUGGUUGUUGUUGCUUCUGCCGUAGUUGUAGUAGGAGCACCUGUUGUUGUUGUGGUUUCUGCCGUGGUUGCUGUGGCUGCUGCCGUGGUUGUUGUGCUUGCUGUCGUGGUUGUUGUGGGGGUUGGUGUUGUCGUGGGAGCAGCCGUGGAAGUUGUGGGUACUGACGUGGUUGUUGUGGGUGCGGCCGUGGUAGUUGUGGAAUCUGAUGUGGUUGUUGUGGCUGCUCCGGUGUUUGUUGUUGCUGCUGCCGUAGUUGUAGUGGGAGCACCUGUUGUUGUUGUGGUUUCUGCCGUGGUUGCUGUGGCUGCUGCCGUGGAUGUUGUGCUUGCUGUCGUGGUUGUUGUGAGGGUUGGUGUUGUCGUGGGAGCAGGUGUUGUAGUUGUGGUUUCUGCCGUGGUUGUUGUGGCUGCUCCAGUGGUUGUUGUUGCUUCUGCCGUAGUUGUAGUGGGAGCACCUGUUGUUGUUGUGGGUAAUGCGGUGGUUGUUGUGGGUGCGGUAGUGGUUGUUGUUUGAGUAGUAGUGCUUGUUGUAGCAGCUUCAGUAGUUGUUGUGGGUGCACCUGUGGAUGUUGUUGGAGCAGCUGUGUUAGUUGUGGUUUCUGCCGUGGUUGUUGUGCUUCCUGUCGUGGUUGUUGUGGGGGUUGGUGUUGUCGUGGGAGCAUCUGUGGUAGUUGUGGUUUCUGACGUGGUAGUUGUGGCUGCUGCCGUGGUUGUUGUGCUUGCUGUCGUGGUUGUUGUGGGGGCUGCAACUGUUGUCGUGGGAGCAGGUGUUGUAGUUGUGGUUUCUGCCGUGGUUGUUGUGGCUGCUCCAGUGGUUGUUGUUGCUUCUGCCGUAGUUGUAGUGGGAGCACCUGUUGUUGUUGUGGGUAAUGCUGUGGUUGUUGUGGGUGUGGCCGUGGUUGUUGUUUGCCUAGUAGUGCUUGUUGUAGUAGCGUCAGGAGAUGUCGUGGGUGCACCUGUGGAUGUUGUUGGAGCAGCUGUGUUAGUUGUGGUUUCUGCCGUGGAUGUUGUGGCUGCUGCCGUGGUUGUUGUGAGAGCUGGUGUUGUUGUGGUAGCAGCCGUGGAAGAUGUGGGUAGUGCUGUGGUUGUUGUGGGUGCGGCAGUGGUAGUUGUGGAAUCUGAUGUGGUUGUUGUGGCUGCUGCCGUGGUUGUUGUUGCUGCUGCCGUAGUUGUAGUGGGAGCACCUGUGGAUGUUGUUGGAGCAGCUGUGUUAGUUGUGGUUUCUGCCAUGGUAGUUGUGGCUGCUGCCGUGGUUGUUGUGCUUCCUGUCGUGGUUGUUGUGGGGGUUGGUGUUGUCGUGGGAGCAUCUGUGGUAGUUGUGGUUUCUGCCGUGGUAGUUGUGGCUGCUGCCGUGGUUGUUGUGCUUGCUGUCGUGGGAGUAGCCGUUGUAGUUGUGGUUGUUGUUUGAGUAGUAGUGCUUGUUGUAGCAGCUCCAAUAGUUGUUGUGGGUGCACCUGUGGAUGUUGUUGGAGCAGCUGUGGUGAUUGUG
ensembl:lncRNA